rnacentral:rRNA from 1 species
GAUGAACGCUGGCGGCGUGCCUAAUACAUGCAAGUCGAGCGAACGGACGAGAAGCUUGCUUCUCUGAUGUUAGCGGCGGACGGGUGAGUAACACGUGGAUAACCUACCUAUAAGACUGGGAUAACUUCGGGAAACCGGAGCUAAUACCGGAUGAUAUUUUGAACCGCAUGGUUCAAAAGUGAAAGACGGUCUUGCUGUCACUUAUAGAUGGAUCCGCGCUGCAUUAGCUAGUUGGUAAGGUAACGGCUUACCAAGGCAACGAUGCAUAGCCGACCUGAGAGGGUGAUCGGCCACACUGGAACGGAGACACGGUCCCGACUCCUACGGGAGGCAGCAGUAGGGAAUCUUCCGCAAUGGGCGAAAGCCUGACGGAGCAACGCCGCGUGAGUGAUGAAGGUCUUCGGAUCGUAAAACUCUGUUAUUAGGGAAGAACAUAUGUGUAAGUAACUGUGCACAUCUUGACGGUACCUAAUCAGAAAGCCACGGCUAACUACGUG